rfam:Hordeum vulgare subsp. vulgare, WGS project CAJW01000000 data, contig: morex_contig_48305
UUUCUACUCCCUUCGUCCGGAAAUACUUGUCCUAAAAAUAGAUAUAUUGAAUGUAUCUAUAACUAAAAUAAGUCUAGAUUCAUCCAUUCCUAGGACAGGUAUUUCCGAAGGGAGGGAGUAUUUG